rnacentral:rRNA from 1 species
AUUGAACGCUGGCGGCAGGCCUAACACAUGCAAGUCGAACGAGUGGCGGACGGGUGAGUAAUUUCUCGGAACCUGCCUGGUUGAGGGGGAUAACUACUGGAAAAGGUAGCUAAUACCGCAUACCAUCCGACCUGCCAAGAUUGGAUGGGCUUGUUGGUGGGGUAACGGCUCACCAAGGGCACGAUCCCUACCUGGUCUGAGAGGAUGACCCGCCACGCUGGAACUAAGACACGGCCCAGACUCCUGCGGGAGGCAGCAGUGGGGAAAAUUGCACAAUGGGCGGAAGCCUGAGCCAGCCAUGCCGCGUGUAGGAAGAAGGCCUUCGGGUUGUAAAGGACUUUGGGCUGAGAGGCGGUAGCCGCAGAAGGAGCAGCGGCUGACUACGUGCCAGCAGCCGCGGUAAUAC